UAAAUUAUGACUCUUUAUGCAUGUUGUUCUGGAUUUAGAGAAUUACUAUAAUAAUGUAUCAACGUUUUUGGUGUUUAAUAGUAAAAACUAGGUGUGCGGCGUCAAUGCUUGACUUGUCGCAACUGUUUGGUUGCUUCCGGCUUCCGUAGUUUAAACUCUGUUCUGUAACCACCAGGGGGCUGAAAUAUGGGCGAAAUGACGGCGUGGGAAAUGUGCUGUAAAGCAGAUGCGUCGCUUUACCCUCACUCGAACCGCUGAAGCCGGUGUGGAAGGACCGCAUCUCACUGAACGAUGCUCUUCCAAAUGGAUUCCAGUUCUGACGAGAAUCAUUUGAAGACAGCAGCAAAGCGGUGUUAGUGGAAAAUUCACAGAGAUAAGGAAAACGGUAGAUAUUAGUUUCUGCGAUAGCGGCAAGACGGCUCAAACUGUGUGUGUUAAAUCAAUAUUAUUAUUAUUGUUAUCAUUUGGUGUUUAAACUAUUACAAUAGGCAGAAGUUUUUUUAGAGCUGAUUUUUUGCUAUUUUUUGAUCCUAAUACCUGAGUAUCGUAAAUCCAGUCCACAU